CUAUGUGUGGCAUAGUGGUGUGAGUGCUGGACUACAACUCUGGAGACCAGGGUUCGAUUCCUAGCUUGGUCA